UACGUAGGGGGCAAGCGUUGUCCGGAUUUAUUGGGCGUAAAGAGCGUGUAGGCGGCCAGGUAGGUCCGUUGUGAAAACUCGAGGCUCAACCUCGAGACGCCGAUGGAAACCAUCUGGCUAGAGUCCGGAAGAGGAGAGUGGAAUUCCCGGUGUAGCGGUGAAAUGCGCAGAUAUCGGGAAGAACACCCGUGGCUAAGGCGGCUCUCUGGGCCGACACUGACGCUGAGGAGCGAAAGCGUGGGGAGCGAACAGG
rnacentral:rRNA from 1 species